UAAAUAGCACUGCUGCAAACACUAGGGUGUAGGUAUCUUGCAGAAACUAAAUUUGAAUCCAGAGCUGGCUGAUUGCAAAGCCGUGUUCCUGCUCUUUGACCUCUUUCUAUGCAACUGCGACUACAUUUGAAAGCACUUUUUCAUAAUAACCUUCCUGUCUCAUCCUCACAGCAACCUUGUAAGGCAAAUAAAGAUAUUCAUAUCCACUUAACAGAUGACAAAACAAAAGAGACUUUGAAUCCCUGCCUAAGACACAGACAGUAAGACAUGAGGAUAUGAACCCUGGUUUUCUGACAAAUCAUAGCGAUUCAAUGAUGUAUUUCCUUAAGAAUGUUUUUGUAACUUUUGAAAGAUUUUUUUCCUCCUUAACCCUGGCUGACAUACAAUAAACGCCCUCUUCGCCUUUCUCCAUAUUUUUACAACAUUAUUGCAUAGCCCAUGCUGAGCUGCAGCAGGAGUUGGGCGGGGGCAAAUUCAGCUCUGGAACAUUCUCUGCCACAAAUCACAGCUGCCACAAGGACGACCACGGCCAACCCUCCGGGACUCCCCCUAAAACAACAUUCCAUCUGCAGGACGCUGCCAGGACAGUGCCAAUCAGGAGUGGAAAAGAUGUACCGAGAAAGGUGGGUGGCACGACAGAAAAGCAAGCUGAAAGCAGGUGUUUGCAAACAGCCCCCGUGGGCCCGCGCUGAGGCGGAUCAAACGACCCAGGGAAAAACAAAUGAGAUAAAGGGUCGUUUGUUGAAACCUGGUCAUAAAUGCCACAGGACAAUGCCACAUUGUCAGGCUGCCCCCUCGUGACAUUUCCCUGCCGAUAACACUGGUAUGCGUGUGGCUUGGAGACGUCCCAGCAGCCACAGAGAAGACAAGCCCGGUGUGCUGGAAUCUUCCGCGAGCUCAGGCUCGCAAAGUCCAUCCUGAAAGGAUCCGUGCACGUCGUCGACUCGGAGCUGACCUGUGUCACCUGGAGGAUGCUGCCGAAAGUAACGGUGCGUCACCUCCGAGGUCCCGUCGUGGAAGACCUCAAAGAACAGGGAUCCUGGGAGUUUGGGGAGAGGAAACUCUCCGAAGGCAUCUGAAGGAAGGAGAAAACACAGGAAGUACUGGCGAAAAGAUGUGAGACCCUCCUGCAAACGUUCCUGAUUCACAUGCAGGCGGCAUCCCCGUUUUUCCUUCCCUGGAGCAGAAGGUAUGCCCUUGGCAUGAGAGGAGUGGGCGGCAAAGCCCUUUGGCAGGUACGGGGACCAGGCAUUUCCCAUCUUUAUCCUCCAGCCCCUUGCGAAGCGGCAGCCCACACAGUUUAGCGAAUGAAGAGGGCUCGUGUAAACCCCCAGAAUAGCGGGUUUCUGCGACACAUGUGGGACGAAAGUCUGGUCCCCUCGGUGAGGCCGGGGACUUAAUUCAAACCUUACUGACAGGAUCCACCUCCAUUUUUCUUUGGACCCUCAGACGACAGAGGCUGCCUCCGUCUCCCAGGGGAGAGUGACUGGCCCCAGAGCUCAGGCCCAAGUUGGGUAAGAGCUGGGGUUUUGUUGUCAAGCCCCAGCUGAGGGGGAACACGCCAUAAAUAAGUGCCUCUUGGAAGCUGAGGCCUGCACAGCUUAUUCAGACCUUGGCAACCACCAACCACCCCCUCUGCCUCUUCCAGGGCUUGUUCCUGUUUUCACCAAGCAGCAGGAGCCCCGAUGGCCCCCUUGCAGCCCCCACAGCCCCGGGUUGAGCCUCCCAGGCAUCCCUGCCAAGCCGAGCCGGGAGCUCCCUCUGGGCUGCCUUUGAAGGCAGUGGGGCUGGUGCAGGAAGAGCUCGGAUCGGAUAGGCAGCCUCGGUGGGGGAUGGGAGGGUGGGGGUCGAGGAGGAGGCAGCCCCUCCACCCCCACCCCUUGCCCAGGAGGAUUAAGGAGGCUGCAUUGUCCCUGGCUGUGGCCCCUGUAUUUGCAUAUAUCAAGUCCCUGAGCUGGGGUGGAGGCGAGGGUUGCACCUGCCACCCUGGGGUUCCCAGGGCUGACUGCAGUCAGACCUUCCAGGUAAUCCAUUUGGGUCCUUACCGAUGGGGAUACAGGCUUGAGGGUGGAAUCGUGAUGGAGAGGGGAGCAGGAGGCGUUCCUUCGGACUGGCUGAAAGUGGUCAGGGGUCUGGGGAGGCCCCCGGCUUUGAGUCCUGGGCGCUCUUUUAAACAGGCCUUUAUGUGGAGAGCCCUCCAACCUCUAAGCCUCAUUGAACUUGAAAAGCUACAAGCUCCCUUUCUUUCUGGAGACCCUCUGGCCUCUUUGCUUAUCGCUUUCAUCGAAGCCAUUGUGAGGGGCUGUCUUAGAGGGGACAGGACCCUCCGGGGGAGGCGCCUAUCUCAGCACAGAUGUAAAAACGGGGGAACAAAGCGUCUGAGCCACCGAAGGGGGGGGACAGGGCACGCCUGAAGGGGAUUCACGUCCUGGUCGGUGCUUCCCGGCAGAAACUGUUUAGAUUACAAAUUGCGGACAAAUGCAGAAAGUGCUUUCUUGAGCCAAAGGACCUUUUCCAUGUGACGGGUGGUGAAACUGAGGCUUGCCCACAAGACGCAAAGGGACGGUGCCCCUCGGUGAGGCAUCCCGGACCUGAGCCCCAGAUUUCAGAUAUGGGGUCGCGCCUUCUCUCACCACGUGCCUCCCUCCCCGUGUGCAAAACACCAGGGGAAAGAGCUUUAGGACUUGGUUGCAUCUGGCUUUUCGCUUAAGCAGGACUUAGCUACAGGGCUCCAUAUACCUGUGAUGUGUGACUUGGGUCUCAGGCGAUUUUUUUUGGCAAAUCGAGGAAACGAGCAGCCGAAGUAAGUGGGGCUGGGGGCUGGGCACCAGUGCUCCCGGGAAGUUGCACCCUAAGAAUCAUUAGCAAAUGAAUGGCUUAUUCAAGUGUGCCCGGAGGGGUUGGAGGGGAGCUGGCCUGCGCCUUCAGGGGAUGCUCCCCCAGCUGGUCCCUCAACGGCCUUUCUUCCCUUCUUAAGCCCUGGGUGCUCCACUGUGCUUAGCAUUUGAUCUCCAAAAUCAGCAAGGGUCAGAACACCAGCCCCUGGCAAUUGUUGGCCAAUUGACCUCAUUUUAAUGCCAUUGGCUUUUAGCCCAGUGUUGUCUCUCACCGUUAUUUGCAUUCCGAGUUUGAAAAAAAAAAAAAAUCUGGUGUAAUGUACAUAGCGCGAAUUCACCCUUUUAAGAUGGAACCAUUCUAGGAGAUUCAAGAAAUCAUACCAUUUGGGGGGUUGGGGUUUGUUUGUCCGCACCUGCUGCUUGUGGAAGUUCCCCGGGCCAGGGAUCCAACCUACACCUCAGCUGGGACCUGAGCCGCAGGACUGACAAUGCCAGAUCCUUAACCCCCUGAGCCACCAGGGAAUUCCCAAAUCAUACCAUUUUGUAACCAGCACCGCAAGUCUGAGCAGAGCCCCUUCACCUCCUCAAACGUCCCCCUGCCCCUUGAUGGUCAGCUCCAUCCCCUCCCGCUGGGCCCUUCAUUUGCCUUUUCUAGAAGGUCAUAAAAACGGAGCCACAUGUAGGUAGCAUUUUGAGGUGGGCUGCUUCUGUUUCGAAUAAUGCUUUGAGCUUUACCCACGCUGUGUUCCUUUUUCUUGGUGAGUAGGAUUCUCUUGAAUGGAAGGGCAACAGAUGGUCUAUUCAUUCAUCAACUGAAGGCCAUUGGGUGGUUUCCAGUUUGAGGAAAUUAUGAAUAAAGUUACUGUAAACAUUUGCAUACA